rnacentral:lncRNA from 1 species
CCUUAGAGAUAGAAGUUGUAACUACUUCCUGGAGCAUGACACAAAAAUCUAAACAUUUCAUGAUUUAUUUGAUUUUCUCUAUUAUCUGGCUGAUGUAUGUUUAGUUGUCUUUAUUAACCUACUGAUUUCUUAAUAAAUAAAUAGUUUUUUUAUAAUGUGAAAUAGGUAAACGAUGAGGUUAAAUGGUAAGCUCUUAAGUCAAAAUAAUUAACUUUUGAAAUCUUACG